UACGAAGGGGGCUAGCGUUGCUCGGAAUGACUGGGCGUAAAGGGCGCGUAGGCGGAUGGCACAGUCAGAUGUGAAAUUCCCGGGCUUAACCUGGGGGCUGCAUUUGAUACGUGUUGUCUUGAGUUCGGAAGAGGGUCGUGGAAUUCCCAGUGUAGAGGUGAAAUUCGUAGAUAUUAGGAAGAACACCAGUGGCGAAGGCGGCUAUCUGGACGGUUUCUGACGCUAAGACGCGAAAGCGUGGGGAGCAAACAGG
rnacentral:rRNA from 1 species